rnacentral:rRNA from 1 species
UAGGGAAUAUUGGACAAUGGGGGGAACCCUGAUCCAGCAACGCCGCGUGAAGGAAGAAGGUCUUCGGAUUGUAAACUUAUGUUGUCGGGGACGAAAAGAGACGGUACCCGACGAGGAAGCCCCGGCUAACUACGUGCCAGCAGCCGCGGUAAUACGUAGGGGGCGAGCGUUGUCCGGAAUUACUGGGCGUAAAGGGCGCGUAGGCGGCAUAUUAAGUUAGAUGUGAAAUCCCCGGGCUUAACCUGGGUGUUGCAUUUAAAACUGAUAAGCUUGAGUGCAGGAGAGGGAAGCGGAAUUCCUAGUGUAGCGGUGGAAUGCGUAGAUAUUAGGAGGAACACCAGUGGCGAAGGCGGCUUUCUGGACUGUAACUGACGCUGAGGCGCGAGAGCGUGGGGAGCAAACA